CCUACGGGAGGCAGCAGUGGGGAAUAUUGCACAAUGGGGGAAACCCUGAUGCAGCGACGCCGCGUGAGUGAAGAAGUAAUUCGUUCUGUAAAGCUCUAUCAGCAGGGAAGAAAAUGACGGUACCUGAGUAAGAAGCCCCGGCUAACUACGUGCCAGCCGCCGAGGUAAUUCGUAGGGGGCACGCGUUAUCCGGAUUUACGGGGUGUAAGGGGAGCGUUGACGGCAGUGCAAGUCUGGAGUGAAAGGCGGGGGCUCAACCCCCGGACUGCUCUUGAAACUGUACGGCUGGAGUGCAGGUGAGGUAAGAGGAAUGCCUAGUGUAGCGGUGAAAUGCGUAGAUAUUAGGAGGAACACCAGUUGCGAAGGCGGCUUACGGGACUGUAACUGACGUUGAGGCUCGAAAGCGUGGGGAGCAAACAGGAUUAGAUACCCUUGUAGUC
rnacentral:rRNA from 1 species